rnacentral:ncRNA from 1 species
AUAAAGUUUUAUUUUGGCUUAAAAUUUUAAUUUAUAGAUUUAAUUAUAUGCAAAGUUUUUUGUUAUGGAAUUUACUGUAGAACGGUAAAUUAUUAAUGUUUAAUUAUAAUUAUGCAAUAUAGAGAAUUAUAAAUGAAAGAAAUUUUGAUGUAGGAAUUUAUAAUAGUAUUGAUUAAAUUUGUGCCAGCAAUUGCGGUUAUACAGAUAAUGCAAUUAAAUUUUUUCGGUUAGUAGUAAAUUGGGCUAAUAGUUUUUUAAACACAAAUUUAUUAGGUGAAAUUAGUAAGUUUGGUUUAAAUUGUUGAGUAGGUAAUAAGGUUACGAGAUUCUCGUUAUAAACUAGGAUUAGAUACCCUAUUAUUGAGAAUGUAAAUUUAUAUACCUGAGUAGUAGUAGUUAUGUUCUUGAAAUUCAAAAAAUCUGGCGGUAUUCUAGUCUGCUUAGAGGAACCUGUCCUGUAAUUGAUGAUCCACGAUUAAUUCUACUUAUUUUCAGUUUGUAUAUCGUCGUAGGUUGAAUGUUUUAAGAGAAAAUGGAAUGUUCAAAAUUUAUGUAAACAUAAAGAAAAUCAGAUCAAGAUACAGCGUAUAGAUAAGAAGAGAUGGGUUACAAUAAAUUUAUUUAGAUGGUUGGAAUAUUUAACAAUAUUUCAUAAAGUGGAUUUAACAGUAAUUAGAUUAAGUUAAAUCUAAUGAUUUUAGCUCUAGAAUAUGUACAUAUCGCCCGUCGCUCCUUCUUCAAGGAAGGAUAAGUCGUAACAUAGUAGGUGUACUGGAAAGUGUACCUAGAACGAC